rnacentral:rRNA from 1 species
AGUGAACGCUGGCGGUAGGCCUAACACAUGCAAGUCGAACGGCAGCACAGUAAGAGCUUGCUCUUACGGGUGGCGAGUGGCGGACGGGUGAGGAAUACAUCGGAAUCUACUUUUUCGUGGGGGAUAACGUAGGGAAACUUACGCUAAUACCGCAUACGACCUACGGGUGAAAGCAGGGGAUCUUCGGACCUUGCGCGAUUGAAUGAGCCGAUGUCGGAUUAGCUAGUUGGCGGGGUAAAGGGCCAGCAAGGCGACUAUCCGUAGCUGGUCUGAGAGGAUGGUCCGCCACCCUGGAACUGAGACACGGUCCAGACUCCUACGGGAGGCAGCAGUGGGGAAUAUUGGACAAUGGGCGCAAGCCUGAUCCAGCCAUACCGCGUGGGUGAAGAAGGCCUUCGGGUUGUAAAGCCCUUUUGUUGGGAAAGAAAAGCAGCAGGUUAAUACCCCGCUGUUCUGACGGUACCCAAAGAAUAAGCACCGGCUAACUUCGUG